CUCGACUUAAUAUUUAUGAGGAGAUUUAUUUGGGUCUCAAAAAAUAUUUUAUUUCUUUACAUCUAAUGCAAAUAAAAUAAAAAAUCAAUCCGCACAAACAAAUAUAAUUAAACUGGUGAUGAUCAUGGAUCUUAGAAGUGGAUUCGGACUCGAGCCACUGAGUCGGAAUCGGGGUCUUAGGGUCAUAAAUUACAAGCACACACACGUCAUUGGUUUGAUUGUUUUCAACUUCUUGAUCCGAUCUGGAGCUUCAACUUGAUCCGAUCCUUAUCAACACCUUGAUCUGACCGUCAUCAAGUAUUCGUCUCUAUCCGGACCUUGCGAACUUUUGGGCUUGCAACCGAUCAACCAAUGACGUGCAAUCAUACAUUAUGCAACCCAAUAAUAAAAAUAAAAUAAAAAUUAAUUACAAUUGAUAACUUUUAUCUCUAAUCUAUUGAGACACGCAGGUCUCCAAAUAAAUCGGCUUGUGCAUGCAAGCACAAAUAUAGCCAUCUCUAAUACAAAAUCCUUAAUUUAAACAAAUUUAAAAUUACAGGAUUCGGCAUACACAUCAUACAUCACAUGUCAAAAUAUAAAUAGGUCGCUAUCCAUGAUCAUCACCGUAUCUCAUACAUCACAUGCAUAAUAAUAAAUUUUGGAUAUUCUAAUUAACCGUUAACCGAUGAUUCGAAAGAAUAAAUUAUUAAAAAUAAUCAAUCUUAUGAAUUAUAAUAAUUUUGAUCAACAAUUUAAUCUACAAAAAUAACAUCUUGAUCUCAUCAAGAAAUCAAUUUGAUCUAAUCAAAUUAGAUUCACCCUUUUCUUUUAUUUUAAAAACGAU
rnacentral:lncRNA from 1 species